UAUCCAAGGAACUGCUCUGAGGGUUGAUGGAAGGAGCACUUCUCAGCUUUGAGGAAUAGUUGGAACUCUCUCAGGCGUUUCAGAACCUCCGCAACGUGGUGGCGAUGUUCGGCCAUGCUCCGGGAGUAGAUCAGGAUAUCAUCGAUGUAGACCAGGACAAACUUGUGGAGAACUCCCAGAGCACCUCAUGGAUGAAAUCCUGGAAUACGGAGGGGGCGCUGACCAGGCCAUACGGCAUGACGCAAUAUUCAUAGUGUCCAGUAGGGGUCACAAAAGCUGUCUUCUACUCGUCCCCCUCACGUAUCCGGAUGAGGUUGUACAUGCUGCGGAGGUCCAACUUGGUGAAGACAGUGGCACCACGUAGAUGUUCCACAGCCGCUGGGACGAGGGGAAGAGGAUAGCGGAACUUCACCGUGAUUCUGUUCAGAGGCCGGUAAUCAAUACAAGACCGCAAGCCUCCGUCCUUUUUGGCCACGAAGAAGAAGCUCGAAGCAGCAGGGGAAGUGGAAGGACGGAUGUAGCCCUGAUGUAAUGCUUCCUCGAUGUACUCCUCCAUGGCCUUCUGCUCAGGGAUGGAUAAUGAAUAGAUUUUCCCAUGGGGCACUGACUCACCCAGAAGCAGAUCGAUGGCACAGUCCCAUGGCCGGUGUGGAGGCAGCUUGGAAGCUCUCUUCGGGCAGAAAACAUCACUGAAGGGGGCGUAACAAGGAGGAAUAUCCACAGACUGUUUAUCCACUGGGCUCUCGAUGGAGGUAGAGCAGAUGAGGAGCAGGAGGCUGAGGGAUGUGAGGGAAACAGUCUGGGAAACAGGUAUUGCCCCACUUCAGGAUUUCGCCGGUGGUCCAAGAGAUGAUGGGAUUGUGCUGCUCCAACCAGGGGCGCCCUAGGAUCACAUCAGCGGUGGAAUCCUCCAGAACCAGGAGAUGUUGAUGUUCCACAUGCAGUAAUCCAACUUGGAGCUUGACUGGGCCAGCACAUAACUGGACACGCUUAUGGCUGAGUGGUUUGCCAGUCACGGAAUGGAUCUGGUAGAUGGACGGCGUGGUUGUGGUCUUGAGUUUGAGCUGGUGGCAGAGGGCACCAGAGAUGAAGUUACCGGCUGACCCGGAGUCAUGGAGAGCAUGGACUGGAAUGGAAACAUUGACAGCAGUAAGCAUUACAAUGGUUGAGAGUGGCUUCAUUCUCUUAAUGGAGGGAAGAAUGGCAUGUUGAGAUGACAUGCCCAGUAGCACCACAAUACAAACACAAGCCCUGGGACAGCCGCCUCUGCCGCUCAGCGAGUGUCAACCUAUUAUUCUCCAGUUGCAUAGGUUUGUUGCCUGGUUCUGGAGGGCUGAUGGAUUCUGGCUGGUGGAGAGAUGGAGAGUAUGAUGGCUGGCCCCGGUGUUCUUCUAGACACGACUGCAUACGAGUGGCGACUCUGAUGGAGAGCUGGAUGAAUCGGUCGAGGCCGAUGGUAUCCUCGUAUGCAACGAGAUGCAGCCAUACCCUGGGAUCCAAACCCUGACGAUAUUCCAUCCACUGGCAGCCGCAAGAGUCCUGAACUUGAGGGCAUAAUCAUUAACAGACUUUGAACCUUGUUUCAAAUGAUAGAGCCGCUCACCCGCAGAUGAAUCACUCACUGGUCUGCUGAAAACCUCCUUGAAGUGGGUAAUGAAGCUGGUCAGAGACUGAAUAAUGGGUCCAUCUUGUGACAAAAUUGUUUCUGCCCAUUGGAGUGCUCGUCCGUUCAACUGUGAAAUUAUGAAGGCUACCUUGAAGCGAUCGUCAGGGUACAGGUGUGGCUGCUUCUCCAGGACCAGCGAACACUGCAGGAGGAAGCCGUUGCAGUUCUCCGCCGAGCCAGAGAAGGGCGCUGGUUUGGCCAUGGGACUGGUGUAGACCGGUGGUGAAGGAGUAACUGCGGCGGUGCCGGAAGUGAGGGCUGGUGUGGAUGCAGGUGGAUUGGUGUGUCGGUCCGGUCUUCUGUUAUGGACAGAAGGGCAGGAGACACAGAUAUUCAAGCAGAUGGUGGUUUUUUGGAGAACAACACGGUAAACACAGUAAUGCAGGUUUGCAGAUCGUGGCUGGGGUGAUGGCAGGUGACAGGAUGAACACACGAUGAAGGAGCUCAGGAGCUCAGGAGCAACAACGAGAGAAGAUAAGAAAAGUCUGUCGCCCACAGCCAGACGACAGCGUCUUUUCAAACUAAGAAGAGAAAAGUGCCUUUUGUACAUUGCAAACCAUCUGUGUCCAUGUGUUCUGUGUGUGUCUGUAUGUGUGUGUGUGUGUGAUAAGUGAUGCAUCACAGUACACUGUAAAAACAUUGUAAGAUUUUCAAAAACUGUUUACUGGUAUACUUAGUGUAAAACUGUUUGUUCAGAUCACUCUAUUUGGAAAGUUGGGACAACAUUUGGACAUGUUUUUAAGUAUUUCAGUAAAGUCAACAAAAUGGUCUUUGUUAUUCCUACUACAGCAAACAUUGUUCAAGCUAUCUCUAAACAUUACUUAGAAAUCCAAACAGCAUUAAUUAAACAGCAUUAAUUUUGUGUUUUCUUCUGAAUCUAUAUCCCUACUGUUAACUAAAGUGAGGUGAAUUCCAUCUGUAUGUUUUUUUUUUUUUUGUAUGAAAUCACCAUAGACUUUUUCAUGUCAGUACAUCAUACGUCUGUCCUCACUUGCUUUAUGGAGUCUACACCAUCAUUCAUUUAUUGUGACACAUGGGAACGGUUGACAAUAUCACAAAGAUCUUUUUGAUUGUUAUUGUCUGAAGAACAUCUCACCCAAAUUUGAGUUGAUCUGUUGAAAGCUCUAGGACGAGUUUGAACAAGUAUGUUAAACACAACACCAUUUAAAAGUUAGUUAGACCAUUUAUUCCAAAAAUUCACUGGCUAAAAAUGAAUAAAA